rnacentral:lncRNA from 1 species
CAUUUCAUUAUAACAAAUGGUGUCGUAUAAACAUUUCAUACCUCCCUGUGCAUGUGGGAGUGUGUCUUCAGAAUAAAUACUGGGCAUUGGAAUCGCUGAGUCAUAGGGUAUGAAUAUUUUUCACUUUAAUAGAUACUGGCAAGUUGCCCUCCAAAGUGGCUCUACCAACUCACACACCCACCAGCAGUGGAAUGAGAACACAUAUUUCCUCACAUCCUGCCAAAUUUCAUAUUAGCAAACCAUUUCUGACAAUCUAAUUGGGGGAAAAUGCUGUCUCAUUGUUGUCUCCGUGUAUGUUCUUUUGAUUGCCAGUGAGGUCAAAUGUCUUCCACAAUUAUUGGCCGCUUGUAUCUCCUCUUUUGUGAUGUCUUUAUCCUUGUGACGCCACCAGUGUUCUAAAGUCCACUCUUGGCUCUUCUCUACAAAAUCCUCUGCUUUGUGACCCAACCUUCAGGGCCUCUGCCAAUCCUGUGGAUCUCUUCAGAUGUUCACCAUCUCCCUAGGAGCUGAGAGAAGCCACCUGGUGGCAGGGGAAGUCAUUCUUGUCUCCCCACCUUAACAAGCCUCAGGACACUUCAGAUCUGCUCAAAGGGCACCGCUGAAGUUAUUCCUGAAGAGCAACGGCUGUGACAACCUUCUCUCUCACCUGCAAAUUGGGCCAGAAUCUUUCCUCCUUUGGAAUAAAUCUCACCUAGAAGAUUAUGGUGUAUCUGAAGAUUAAGAUUGGUGUAUGGUGUAUCUGAAGAUUAAGAAGAUUAAGGUGUAUACACCUUAUGGUGUAUCACCUAGAAGAUUAUGGUGUAUGAUCUUUCUGUAGCUCUUCCAAAGCUGAAGUCAUGGUCCAGCUGUGUCAGGCGAGGCGCGAGCUGCAGCCACACGGGGGAGAGAACAGGAAACGCCACCAGGCGCGCACUCACCCAGAGGCAGACCCGCCGGCAGGAGUCGCAGCGCCGUAAGCCUGUGCGCACACCCGACCUACCGGCCUCCUGCACUUGGUGCCUCUCAAGUAUGUUUCGUGUUAAAGUCGUGACUCUUGGUGUGUUCCUUCAUAGCUUCAGGGUAGGAACUGGUUACUAGAAAGAUUAAGCCACGAUUAGAAGCUUGGAACGUUCAGCCUUACCCACCCGUACUCUAGGGCGGGGCGGGGGAGGGUAGAGAUAGAGUUAAUAACCCAUUCUGCUUACAUGAUGAAGCCUCCAUAAAAAUCUCUAAACUAUGGGGUUCAGAGAGCUUCCAGGUUGGUGAAUGCAUCCAUGGGCACCCCAAGCUCCCAAGGUCUGGAUUCUUCCAGACCUUGCCCUAGGUACCUCUUUAUCUGGUUGCUCACUUGUAUCCUUUAUAAUAUCCUUUGUAAUAAACCUGUUACUAGUUAGUAAGGUAUUUCCUUG